GACGGUGGCGCCUGAGCUGGGCUUCCUUUGCAAGUAAUUUCCUGAUAUUGCCGAGGGAGCCACAUUGGUCUCAGACCCCGUAGGUGGCGGUGGCGGCGGUGGCGGCGGCGGCUGCGCUCCUCCGCGCUCCCGCCGCGCCCUGGACCCAGCUGCGGUGCCGACGCCCGGCGGAGCGAGCCAAGUAGGAAAUAUGAGCGGCAGCAACUUGGAUGGGAACGCUGAGUUUGAUGAGCAGUUGCGAAUGCAAGAAUUGUACGGAGACAGCAAGGAUGGUGACACCCAGACCCACGCCGGCGGAGAAACCGAUUCUUUCCGGCAUCCGACUGACACUCCCUACGAGUGGGACCUGGACAAGAAGGCUUGGUUCCCAAGAUCACUGAGGAUUUCGUUGCCUCGUAUCAGGCCAAUUAUGGCUUCUCUAAUGAUGGCGCAUCUAGUUCUACUGCAUAUGUUCAAGAUGUCCAUGCUAGGACUGCUGAGGAACCUUCACAAGAAAAAGCCUGGGAACCCACUGAUCCCAGAAAGAAGGGAGGAAAAAGAAAGGCCGAGUCAGGAUGGUUUCACGUUGAAGACAGAGGGAGAAAUACAAAUGUAUAUGUGUCUGGUUUGCCUUCAGGUAUUACAGUGGAUCAAUUUAUACAACUUAUGUCCAAGGUCGGCAUUAUUAUGAGAGACCCUUAGACAGAGAAAUUUAAGGUCAAACUUUACAAAGAUAAUCCAGGAAAUUCUUAAAGGAGACCGUCUUUGCUGUUAUUUGAAGAGAGAAUCUGUGAAACUUGCAUUAAAAGUUUUGGAUGAAGAUGAAAUUAGAGGCUACAAAUUACACGUUGAGGUGGCAAAAUUCUUCUUGCUCUGUCAUCAGGGAGAAUAUGAUGCCUUAAAGCAGAAGAAGAAGAAGUGCAAAGACUAUAAAGAAGAAGCUGUCUGUGCAACAAAAGCAGCUGGAUUGGAGACCUGAGAGGAGAGCUGGACCAUCCUGGAUGCACCAUGAGCGAGUUGUCAUCAUAAAGAAUAUGUUUCAUCCUAUGGAUUUUGAGGAUGAUCCGUUGGUGCUGAAUGAGAUCAGAGAAGACCUUUGAGUAGAGUAUGCAAAGUUUGGACAAAUUAGGAAGCUCCUUCUCUUUGAUGGACACCCAGAUGGUGUGGCCUCUGUGUCCUUUCAGGUUCCAGAGGAAGCUGAUUAUUGUAUUCAUACUCUGGAUGGAAGUGGCUGUCAAAUCACUGCCCAGGCAUGGUGGAGGAAACCUCAAGGGAAAGGCUAAGAGGAUGGGAGGCUUUCCUCAAUGCUCCUGAGGCCAGCAGAGGCCUUAGGCAUUCAGAUUUUGUGUUGGCUUCAGAAAGGGCUGGGCCUUCUACAGCAAGGCACUUUUUAGAGCACCCAGCACAUCUAAAAUGAAUACUCAAGAAGCUGCAACUGGAAUGGCAUUUGAAGAACCUAUAGAUGAGAAGAAGUUUGCAAAGACAGAAUAUGGGGGGAAAUUUGAAGAAGAUGCUUCUGAAAACAAUGCUAAAGAAGGAGGCCCAGAAAAAGAGGCCAAAGAAGGCUUUGAAGGCUGCUGCUCCCCAAAAGAGUCUGAAGAAGGCAAUCCCGUAAGAGGAUCUGAAGAGGGUAGUCCUAAAAAUAAGUCAAAAAAGAAGACACUCAAAAAUGACUGUGAAGAGAAUGCCCUUGCAAAAGAAUCUGAAGAUGACCCCAAGAAGGAGUCUGAGGAGGAGGCUGGACCCAGAAAAGAGUCUGAAGAAGGUGACUCAGAGAAUCUGAAGAAGACUGCUCUGAAAAACAGUCUGAAGAUGGCUCCGAAAAGAAUUUGAAGAAAAUGAUCUCAAGAAGGAUUUGGACAAGAAUGGCUCUGAAAACGAGCUUCCUGAAAAUGUUCUUGACAAAGAGUUAGAAGAAAAUGACUCUGAAAACUCCGAAUUUGAAGAUGACAGCUCUGAAAAAGUGUUAGAUGAGGAAGGCUCUGAGAAAGAGUUCGAGGAAGAUUGAGAUGAAGAGGAAGAAGAGGAGGAUACAUAUGAAAAAGAAUUUGGUGAUGAGUCCAAUGAGAAAGGAUGAAAUCGCAGAUGAAAAGGGAGCUGCUGAUACAACGGAGUAAGAAGGUGAUGUGGAUGAAAAGCUGCUUGAAGAGUCAGACGACAAGGAAGAUGAAGAUGCAGAUGGAAAGGAAGAUGAAGAUGCUGAUGAAAAGUUGUUCAAAGAUGAUUUCAACGAGUUGUUUGAUGAGGAGGAAGAUUCUGAUGAGAAGGUGUUUGAUGAUUCUGAUGAGAGGGGACUUCGGGUGAUUUUGGGAGUGUUGAAGAAGGGCCGCUAUCCACUGGCAGCAGCUUUAUUCUCAGUAGUGAUGAUGAUGAUGAUCUUUAAUCACUUAAACUUACUUCUUAGGGAGAGUCCUCCAGCUACAUUUGCCUGUGCUUCAGGGUAAUUACUAGUAGUGUUAAAUGAAUGUUUGCAUAGUGGUUGGAUGCCAUCAGAUUAAUACACGGAAGUUUUUCAUUGUUUCUGUACCUAAUGGUUUUAAAUAUAUGUUAAUUGACUAUUCAGUUAUAAUAUCAUGGUUAUAUUGCAAGUAAACUGGAUACUGUUCUUUUGUCAGAUGUGUUAAAUGCAUGCAGAAUAUAUAUAUAUAUAUUUUUUUUUUUUUUUUUUUUUU